ACUUAGCCUGUGUGGGUCUCCAUU
rnacentral:miRNA from 1 species